rnacentral:tRNA from 2 species
GCGUCGGUGGGUUCAGUGGUAGAAUACUCGCCUGCCACGCGGGUGGCCCGGGUUCGAUUCCCGGCCGACGCA